AUUGAACGCUGGCGGCAUGCCUUACACAUGCAAGUCGAACGGCAGCACGGGAGCAAUCCUGGUGGCGAGUGGCGAACGGGUGAGUAAUAUAUCGGAACGUGCCCAAUCGUGGGGAUAACGUAGAGAAAUUUACGCUAAUACCGCAUACGAUCUAAGGAUGAAAGCGGGGGAUUGCAAGACCUCGCGCGAUUGGAGCGGCUGAUAUCAGAUUAGGUUGUUGGUGAGGUAAAAGCUCACCAAGCCGACGAUCUGUAGCUGGUUUGAGAGAACGACCAGCCACACUGGGACUGAGACACGGCCCAGACUCCUACGGGAGGCAGCAGUGGGAAUUUUGGACAAUGGGCGAAAGCCUGAUCCAGCAAUGCCGCGUGCAGGAAGAAGGCCUU
rnacentral:rRNA from 1 species